GUCAAUAAUACUGUCCGUUUUUUUCUGUCAAGAUAUUUUUUAUUUAAAUUUGAAAAACAAAAGAACAAUUAGGAAUGAUUUAUUAAUUUAUAUGAUUUUGGUCAAAAGAAUGAGAUCGCACCAUAAAAUAAAAAUACACAUGUGCUGUGUAUCUAGCUAUGGCAAGAAUACCACAUUUAAAGAUAAAAAAAUUCGUAAGACAUGGCAAGAAAAGAAUGAUCUUUGUUCAAGAACCUCUGUUAAAUCCCAGCCUCCCAAUAUAUACAAACAUUUACAAAUGUUGUCAAAGGUUCGAUUGUAAAAUACCACCCAUUUCUCUUGAAGGUGCAUCCGAAGACCCGAGGACCGCAGACUUAGGGCUAACUUAUAACAUUGGAUGAGUUAGUUUUAAUUUACAAUAAAAUCUUGAUCGAUCUAUUAAA